AUUGUUUGGUACAUUGGCAAGGUGAAAAAAGUUGGAUGCAAUUCUAGAACUGUUAAGGUAUCAUGAAAGCGUUUCGAAAGUUGACAACUCAUCUCUUGGUUUACUCGGCUUGCUGGGACUGCUAUCUUUGCUGUCGAAUGUUUUGCUACUGAUAACGACGACCACGACAGCAGCACCAGCCGGACGAAGAAGACGUGAGGUAGACCCAUUCACAGAAUUACAGCUCGAUAGUGAAAAUAAAGUUGAGGAAAUUUGUCAAAGGGUCCUGCCAUCACUGAAUGUCAUUGGACAUGUUCAGAAUGGAAAAAUCCCCGUCAACUGUUCCCACCAAGAAGUUUGUACAACUAAUCAAAUUCUCGUAAACGAGUUUGGCAUCCAAGGACGAACUGUUGGGUCAAUGCUGAGCAAAGCCAUAGUCAAAAUGUUGAAGGAAGUUAACCAAUCCCCGGCAGCCGACAAAUAUUUGUUGCAAGCGAGUUUGGAUGGGCGAAAUGGGGAAAAUUGUGAAAGGGCUUAUCCAACCUGUAGACAGUUGGAGAAAGGGAAACAUAGUUUAAGCCAAUUAGUUUCACCAGAACAAGUGACUGCCAUUGUUCUCCGCAAAAAUCCCAGACUCAUUCCCUCCAGCAAUUGAACUUGCAGACCGUCGUACUGUCACAACGAGUACAUAUUUAUGCAACUGACUGGAACCUACUUACACACACACACUGACUACUCAGGUGAAAUGUCUGUGAAUGAAUAGAAGCCGUACAUUUGCUCUCAAUACAUGACUUGAUUUCUUGCUCAACCUUGUAUUUCUGCCUCAAAUGAGAUAUUUCGAGAAUUUAGCCACGACUGACGAUGUAUGUUAUCUUUCAUUUGCUUUUUCUAUUAAAUGGUUAUUUAAGUAUUACGACUCUGACCGGAUGGAUGAAUAAAUGUAGUGCUAUCUUGAUGGACAAUGUACAAAUACAUGUAUUCCAGUAAUACGAUUAUGUAAUCUUAUGUACAUACAUAUGCCAAUCGACAAGUAGUUCGCUACCAGUGAGACAACUUGACAUUCCCAAGUGUUGUUAGUUAACUAAACCAAGACGACCUAACACGGACACAAGACACUGCUACCUACGACGACUUGAUAACCAUGGAAAACCAACGAAUCUUACAAAAUUUGUGCAUUGUGCAUUAGAUUUGUAUUAUGUAACAACAUAUUUAUUUAUUGUAGUUUAGCUAUUUAUUUGCCACAUUAUAAGCUGUCAAUGUCAAAUGACGAAUAGAUGAAUAAAUUUUCUGGCUCACCAUUGA